UGCCUCGUGGUGGAUGUGGAUGCUGAUAUGGCCAUAUUUGCGCAAAUGAGAGACGAGAUCAAUGUACAAGAACUGUGUAACAGUGUCAGUGUACAACACGAUCUCAUAGUUUCAAAGUAGAAACAUUUGUACUAUUUAUUUUUUUUAUCGGAUGUGAAAAAUAUAUAUUUUCAAUUUAUACAUUUGCUUCUAAUAUUGCAAUAUCAGCAUCCACAUCCACCACGAGGCA
rnacentral:misc_RNA from 1 species